AAAAGAGCAUCUGUGGAGUGGGGUAGGAUAGGAGUUAGCUUUAUAGGUUUGGGGUGAACAGUGGAAAGCUACAGAAGUUACAGUUGGUGGUUUCUUGCAAGCUGGGAGGGGGUUAUAUGUUUGCAAGCUGGGAGGGGAUCGUAGGGUGUGGAAUCAGGAGGUUGGGCUGAGGUCAGUUACAAAGUCCAAUGGCAUUGUCAAUUGAGGCUGGAAUAAGACACCAUAGAAGAAUGUCUCAGGUUAGUUAGGCACCGCAGGGGUUGAUCGUUCUUCCUUCCAGCUACUUCAGGUCUUCUAAUUCUGGAAGGCCCUCCAGAGGUGUACGUCCGGUUCAUGGGGGUCUCCACGCUGUCCACGGCGUGGUCAGACCUUACAGAAACCACCUGACCAACAUGGUGAAACCCCAUCUCUACUAAAAAUGCAAAAUUAGCAGGGCAUGGUGCC